rnacentral:rRNA from 1 species
CCUACGGGAGGCAGCAGUGGGGAAUUUUGGACAAUGGGCGCAAGCCUGAUCCAGCCAUGCCGCGUGUCUGAAGAAGGCCUUCGGGUUGUAAAGGACUUUUGUUAGGGAAGAAAAAGGAGCGGUUAAUACCCGUUUCUGCUGACGGUACCUAAAGAAUAAGCACCGGCUAACUACGUGCCAGCAGCCGCGGUAAUACGUAGGGUGCGAGCGUUAAUCGGAAUUACUGGGCGUAAAGCGAGCGCAGACGGUUACUUAAGCAGGAUGUGAAAUCCCCGGGCUCAACCUGGGAACUGCGUUCUGAACUGGGUAGCUAGAGUAUGUCAGAGGGGGGUAGAAUUCCACGUGUAGCAGUGAAAUGCGUAGAGAUGUGGAGGAAUACCGAUGGCGAAGGCAGCCCCCUGGGAUAAUACUGACGUUCAUGCUCGAAAGCGUGGGUAGC